AACGAACGCUGGCGGCAGGCUUAACACAUGCAAGUCGAACGCCCCGCAAGGGGAGUGGCAGACGGGUGAGUAACGCGUGGGAAUCUACCCAGUUCUACGGAACAACUGAGGGAAACUUCAGCUAAUACCGUAUACGCCCUACGGGGGAAAGAUUUAUCGGAAUUGGAUGAGCCCGCGUAAGAUUAGCUAGUUGGUGGGGUAAUGGCCUACCAAGGCGACGAUCUUUAGCUGGUCUGAGAGGAUGAUCAGCCACACUGGGACUGAGACACGGCCCAGACUCCUACGGGAGGCAGCAGUGGGGAAUAUUGGACAAUGGGCGCAAGCCUGAUCCAGCCAUGCCGCGUGAGUGAUGAAGGCCUUAGGGUUGUAAAGCUCUUUCAGUGGGGACGAUAGUGACGGUACCCACAGAAGAAGCCCCGGCUAACUUCGUGCCAGCCGCCGCAGUAAUAC
rnacentral:rRNA from 1 species